AAAUUGAAGAGUUUGAUCAUGGCUCAGAUUGAACGCUGGCGGCAGGCCUAACACAUGCAAGUCGAACGGUAGCACAGAGGAGCUUGCUCCUCGGGUGACGAGUGGCGGACGGGUGAGUAAUGUCUGGGAAACUGCCCGAUGGAGGGGGAUAACUACUGGAAACGGUAGCUAAUACCGCAUAACGUCGCAAGACCAAAGAGGGGGACCUUCGGGCCUCUUGUCAUCGGAUGUGCCCAGAUGGGAUUAGCUAGUAGGUGGGGUAAUGGCUCACCUAGGCGACGAUCCCUAGCUGGUCUGAGAGGAUGACCAGCCACACUGGAACUGAGACACGGUCCAGACUCCUACGGGAGGCAGCAGUGGGGAAUAUUGCACAAUGGGCGCAAGCCUGAUGCAGCCAUGCCGCGUGUGUGAAGAAGGCCUUCGGGUUGUAAAGCACUUUCAGCGGGGAGGAAGGCAGUACGGUUAAUAACCGUGUUGAUUGACGUUACCCGCAGAAGAAGCACCGGCUAACUCCGUGCCAGCAGCCGCGGUAAUACGGAGGGUGCAAGCGUUAAUCGGAAUUACUGGGCGUAAAGCGCACGCAGGCGGUCUGUCAAGUCGGAUGUGAAAUCCCCGGGCUCAACCUGGGAACUGCAUUCGAAACUGGCAGGCUUGAGUCUUGUAGAGGGGGGUAGAAUUCCAGGUGUAGCGGUGAAAUGCGUAGAGAUCUGGAGGAAUACCGGUGGCGAAGGCGGCCCCCUGGACAAAGACUGACGCUCAGGUGCGAAAGCGUGGGGAGCAAACAGGAUUAGAUACCCUGGUAGUCCACGCCGUAAACGAUGUCGAUUUGGAGGUUGUGCCCUUGAGGCGUGGCUUCCGGAGCUAACGCGUUAA
rnacentral:rRNA from 1 species